rnacentral:rRNA from 1 species
UACGGAGGAUGCGAGCGUUAUCCGGAUUUAUUGGGUUUAAAGGGUGCGUAGGCGGGCUUUUAAGUCAGCGGUAAAAAUUCGGGGCUCAACCCCGUCCGGCCGUUGAAACUGGCGUUCUUGAGUGGGCGAGAAGUAUGCGGAAUGCGUGGUGUAGCGGUGAAAUGCAUAGAUAUCACGCAGAACUCCGAUUGCGAAGGCAGCAUACCGGCGCCCUACUGACGCUGAGGCACGAAAGCGUGGGUAUCGAACAGG